rnacentral:rRNA from 1 species
GAUGAACGCUGGCGGCGUGCCUAAUACAUGCAAGUCGAGCGAACGGACGAGAAGCUUGCUUCUCUGAUGUUAGCGGCGGACGGGUGAGUAACACGUGGAUAACCUACCUAUAAGACUGGGAUAACUUCGGGAAACCGGAGCUAAUACCGGAUAAUAUUUUGAACCGCAUGGUUCAAAAGUGAAAGACGGUCUUGCUGUCACUUAUAGAUGGAUCCGCGCUGCAUUAGCUAGUUGGUAAGGUAACGGCUUACCAAGGCAACGAUGCAUAGCCGACCUGAGAGGGUGAUCGGCCACACUGGAACUGAGACACGGUCCAGACUCCUACGGGAGGCAGCAGUAGGGAAUCUUCCGCAAUGGGCGAAAGCCUGACGGAGCAACGCCGCGUGAGUGGUGAAGGUCUUCGGAUCGUAAAACUCUGUUAUUAGGGAAGAACAUAUGUGUAAGUAACUGUGCACAUCUUGACGGUACCUAAUCAGAAAGCCACGGCUAACUACGUGCCAGCAGCCGCGGUAAUACGUAGGUGGCAAGCGUUAUCCGGAAUUAUUGGGCGUAAAGCGCGCGUAGGCGGUUUUUUAAGUCUGAUGUGAAAGCCCACGGCUCAACCGUGGAGGGUCAUUGGAAACUGGAAAACUUGAGUGCAGAAGAGGAAAGUGGAAUUCCAUGUGUAGCGGUGAAAUGCGCAGAGAUAUGGAGGAACACCAGUGGCGAAGGCGACUUUCUGGUCUGUAACUGACGCUGAUGUGCGAAAGCGUGGGGAUCAAACAGGAUUAGAUACCCUGGUAGUCCACGCCGUAAACGAUGAGUGCUAAGUGUUAGGGGGUUUCCGCCCCUUAGUGCUGCAGCUAACGCAUUAAGCACUCCGCCUGGGGAGUACGACCGCAAGGUUGAAACCCAAAGGAAUUGACGGGGACCCGCACAAGCGGUGGAGCAUGUGGUUUAAUUCGAAGCAACGCGAAGAACCUUACCAAAUCUUGACAUCCUUUGACAACUCUAGAGAUAGAGCCUUCCCCUUCGGGGGACAAAGUGACAGGUGGUGCAUGGUUGUCGUCAGCUCGUGUCGUGAGAUGUUGGGUCAAGUCCCGCAACGAGCGCAACCCUUAAGCUUAGUUGCCAUCAUUAAGUUGGGCACUCUAAGUUGACUGCCGGUGACAAACCGGAGGAAGGUGGGGAUGACGUCAAAUCAUCAUGCCCCUUAUGAUUUGGGCUACACACGUGCUACAAUGGACAAUACAAAGGGCAGCGAAACCGCGAGGUCAAGCAAAUCCCAUAAAGUUGUUCUCAGUUCGGAUUGUAGUCUGCAACUCGACUACAUGAAGCUGGAAUCGCUAGUAAUCGUAGAUCAGCAUGCUACGGUGAAUAUGUUCCCGGGUCUUGUACACACCGCCCGUCACACCACGAGAGUUUGUAACACCCGAAGCCGGUGGAGUAACCUUUUAGGAGCUAGCCGUCGAAGGUGGGACAAAUGAUUUGGGGUGAAGUCGUAACAAGGUAGCCGUAUCGGAAGG